UCGAGAGUUUGAUCCUGGCUCAGGAUGAACGCUAGCGGCAGGCUUAACACAUGCAAGUCGAGGGGUAUAGUUCUUCGGAGCUAGAGACCGGCUCACGGGUGCGUAACGCGUAUGCAAUCUACCUUUACAGAGGGAUAGCCCAGAGAAAUUUGGAUUAAUACCUCAUAGUAUGUGAGAAUCGCAUGGUUUUCACAUUAAAGUUCCAACGGUAAAAGAUGAGCAUGCGUCCCAUUAGCUAGAUGGUAAGGUAACGGCUUACCAUGGCGACGAUGGGUAGGGGUCCUGAGAGGGAGAUCCCCCGACACUGGUACUGAGACACGGACCAGACU
rnacentral:rRNA from 1 species